GACGAACGCUGGCGGCGUGCUUAACACAUGCAAGUCGAACGGAAAGGCCCUGCUUUUGUGGGGUGCUCGAGUGGCGAACGGGUGAGUAACACGUGAGUAACCUGCCCUUGACUUUGGGAUAACUUCAGGAAACUGGGGCUAAUACCGGAUAGGAGCUCCUGCUGCAUGGUGGGGGUUGGAAAGUUUCGGCGGUUGGGGAUGGACUCGCGGCUUAUCAGCUUGUUGGUGGGGUAGUGGCUUACCAAGGCUUUGACGGGUAGCCGGCCUGAGAGGGUGACCGGCCACAUUGGGACUGAGAUACGGCCCAGACUCCUACGGGAGGCAGCAGUGGGGAAUAUUGCACGAUGGGCGGAAGCCUGAUGCAGCAACGCCGCGUGCGGGAUGACGGCCUUCGGGUUGUAACCCGCUUUCGCCUGUGACGAAGCGUGAGUGACGGUAAUGGGUAGAGAAGCACCGGCUAACUACGUG
rnacentral:rRNA from 1 species